GAACGCUAGCUACAGGCUUAACACAUGCAAGUCGAGGGGCAUCAGGAAGAAAGCUUGCUUUCCUUGCUGGCGACCGGCGCACGGGUGAGUAACACGUAUCCAACCUGCCCUUUACUCGGGGAUAGCCUUUCGAAAGAAAGAUUAAUACCCGAUGGCAUAAUGAUUCCGCAUGGUUUCAUUAUUAAAGGAUUCCGGUAAAGGAUGGGGAUGCGUUCCAUUAGGUUGUUGGUGAGGUAACGGCUCACCAAGCCUUCGAUGGAUAGGGGUUCUGAGAGGAAGGUCCCCCACAUUGGAACUGAGACACGGUCCAAACUCCUACGGGAGGCAGCAGUGAGGAAUAUUGGUCAAUGGGCGCUAGCCUGAACCAGCCAAGUAGCGUGAAGGAUGAAGGCUCUAUGGGUCGUAAACUUCUUUUAUAUAAGAAUAAAGUGCAGUAUGUAUACUGUUUUGUAUGUAUUAUAUGAAUAAGGAUCGGCUAACUCCGUGCCAGCAGCCGCGGUAAUACGGAGGAUCCGAGCGUUAUCCGGAUUUAUUGGGUUUAAAGGGAGCGUAGGUGGACUGGUAAGUCAGUUGUGAAAGUUUGCGGCUCAACCGUAAAAUUGCAGUUGAUACUGUCAGUCUUGAGUACAGUAGAGGUGGGCGGAAUUCGUGGUGUAGCGGUGAAAUGCUUAGAUAUCACGAAGAACUCCGAUUGCGAAGGCAGCUCACUGGACUGCAACUGACACUGAUGCUCGAAAGUGUGGGUAUCAAACAGGAUUAGAUACCCUGGUAGUCCACACAGUAAACGAUGAAUACUCGCUGUUUGCGAUAUACAGUAAGCGGCCAAGCGAAAGCAUUAAGUAUUCCACCUGGGGAGUACGCCGGCAACGGUGAAACUCAAAGGAAUUGACGGGGGCCCGCACAAGCGGAGGAACAUGUGGUUUAAUUCGAUGAUACGCGAGGAACCUUACCCGGGCUUAAAUUGCAGUGGAAUGAUGUGGAAACAUGUCAGUGAGCAAUCACCGCUGUGAAGGUGCUGCAUGGUUGUCGUCAGCUCGUGCCGUGAGGUGUCGGCUUAAGUGCCAUAACGAGCGCAACCCUUAUCUUUAGUUACUAACAGGUUAUGCUGAGGACUCUAGAGAGACUGCCGUCGUAAGAUGUGAGGAAGGUGGGGAUGACGUCAAAUCAGCACGGCCCUUACGUCCGGGGCUACACACGUGUUACAAUGGGGGGUACAGAAGGCAGCUAGCGGGUGACCGUAUGCUAAUCCCAAAAGCCUCUCUCAGUUCGGAUCGAAGUCUGCAACCCGACUUCGUGAAGCUGGAUUCGCUAGUAAUCGCGCAUCAGCCACGGCGCGGUGAAUACGUUCCCGGGCCUUGUACACACCGCCCGUCAAGCCAUGGGAGCCGGGGGUACCUGAAGUACGUAACCGCAAGGAUCGUCCUAGGGUAAAACUGGUGACUG
rnacentral:rRNA from 1 species